rnacentral:lncRNA from 1 species
AAAUUACUUAAGUUACACUGUUGUCAUUGUGUUGUCUAGAAAUACAAUGAAUAUAUUAGUAAUAACAAUUAUGAGUAUAAACAUGUCUGAAAAGAUUGGGAAGAAAUAUCAUUGUUUUUAAGAUCAUACAUUACAUAGUAAACAAUAUUUUACCAGUCAUGCCUGCUGUUGUCCACACUAAAGCUCCAUCUGAUGUGGAUCUGCUGUGUUUUUCUCUCUCAGGACUCAAUAAUGAGCACAGUGUUGAUUGUGUCUCCCUCAAGAGGAUGAGGGAAUGCUAAUAUUAGUGUAGCGGCUGUGAUGGCUAAAGCAGAGUCUCCACGUUUCCUUUCAUUAAGUUUCAUUGACUGUGAGACCAACAACAAUCUAGCAUGUUAAUGUGAAUUCAUUCUUCUUCUCCUGUCUCUUUCUGCAGGUCCGUCUGAAGUGUCUCUCUCGAUGAGAUAUAACCGUCGGCCCACCUGUCCUGAUGCCACUGUUGGGGUCCACAUGCACACCCCUCCACCCUCCCGCCACCGCAAGAGCCACAGCCUCGGGAAUGCCAUGAUGUGGCAUUUCGGUGUGGUGGAGAGUAAAAGUGCCACAUUUCCCACAGAGAAACCACGCCACCUGCUGGACGACAGCUUCCUGGAGUCCCAGAGUCCAGCCCGAACCCAUCCGCACAGCUCCUCUGUGUCCAACGGCAUCUCUAUAGGCAGCAGUCAGAGUUCAUUCUGUGAUGAUCUUUCUCCAGGAGUCGAGAGGUGAGACUCGGUUUCAUGUUAUAAAUGUGCCUAAAUAUCAUCAUCUGUUCAUUUUGCAGCUUUAGUAUGCUCUUUCCACACUGUAAAAAGUAGCGUUUCUGUAUUUUGUGAUUUAUAUAUAUUUUUUUAUUUUUAAUUCUGCUGUUUAAUUCUGCUUUUGAGUUGCAUAAUGAGAGCUUAAUCUUUCUUCCAACAACGUUUAACCUUGAAAAGGGAACUUUAAUGAACGUCUUGAAUAUUUUGCAGUGGUAUAUUGUCUGUGUUAGUGUUGUAUAUUUGUAUUUAUUAUUAAAACCUUGUAAUAAACUGCAGCACAUGUUCUGUUAUUUUACAGACUUAUUUCUCUAGAUAUUUCUUAUACAUUAUAUUAUUUCAGACUACUAAAAUGUCUAUAAAAGUCACUUUGUUAAACUGCAGAGUUGAAUUUUCAACAUCAAAAGUGGACAGAGCAGAGAUCAACAUCCCAUAAUGAAGUUCACAACCGCAAAUAAACAGAAAACACUUGUGAAUCACUAAAUACACAAACUGUUCAUCAGGUGUAGAGUAAAAAAAACAUCUGUUAUGCGAUAGAAAUAGUCUUUUUGGUGCAGUCUGCGCAUUGGUAAUGUUAAUUAAAGCAACAUCAAUAAGUUGUAGAUUUUUUGGAGAAUGUGUCAUCUUUGUCACUAUUGAAGAAAAUUUAUGAAAAUGAGCUCUUUUGUAAGGUAUUUUGCUCUUAAAUUUGAUUAUAAAAACAGUAUUGUUUGAAUUGUAUUAGCAAAUAUUGAAAUGAACUUACACUGUAAAAGAUAUCCGCUAAUUAAGUUUCUGUAUUUUCUGAGUAUUUUACUUUUAUUUACAGUUGAAUUACAUUAUGGGAUGUUAUGGGAUAUUGAUCUCUGCUCUGUCGACUUUUAAUGUUGAAAAUUUACAGUAAAUUCUAUAGUUUUGUAAUAAUUUAAAGGUUAAGAAAUAAUAUAUAGAGAAAUAAGUCAGAACAUGUGCUGGCGGUUUGUUAUAAGUACAUAAGUAAGACACUAUGGGCUCUAUUUUGACGGUCCAUGCGCAGAGCGCAAAACGCAGGGCGCAAACGCUUUCAGGGCGUGUCAGGACGUGUUUUUGCUAAUUUAAGGACGGGAAAUCUGCCUUGCGCCUCGGCGCAUGGUCUAAAAGGAUUGAGUUUAUUUUCUUAAUGAGUUAUAGGUGUGUUUUGAGAAUAAACCAAUUAGAGUCUCAUCUCCCAUUCCCUUUAAGAGCCAGCUGCGUCGCGCCAAGAGCGCAUUCGCUAUUUACAGGAUGCAAAGUAAGUCUAAGUGGAAAAAAUGAGCAUUUAACUAGCAAACAGUUAACAGUUUUUAACAGAAAACUGUUAAACAGAGCAUCUACUGCGUGAGAAUGAGAGAUAAUGGAUCACUUUCACAUUUGCUCUUGGAUAGGGAAACCUUUACACACAGACAUCAAUUAGUCUAUAAA